CAAAUAUUGCCGAAAGAAAGAUGCUAAGCUAGAAGUCAUUGUUUGCUGGAUCUUUACUCACAGGCAGUUUUACUUUUGGGAAAGAGCACCCAUUCCUUGUGGUCUGAAAGUGACAGAGUUGACGAUCGUCUUCUUCUGGACCUGGAAAGAGUCACUGAGGCCAUUGAGUGACUUAGCCCUGCUCUGUGCAGGAAUCCAGAUUAAAGCAUCCCUGCUAGACAGGUGCCGGCUGAUGUUUGAACGUGUGCAGUGAAGGAGAACCCUCAACCUCUCUGGUUCCACUGUUCAACAAUUCUUACUGUUCUGCUAGGAAGGUUUUUCUAACAUUUAAUGAUAAUCAGCCUUGCAAUUAAAACCAUUGCUCCCUAUUGUGACCUCUGAAGCAGGAGGACAGGCCUUGACUUUCUUCUGUGUGAUGCCCUUUCAGUAUCUAGCAUACCCCCCUCAGGUGGUGUCCCCACUUGCCUGAACCAUGGCCCUAUCAUUCCUUGACCAUUGCAAUCCUCCCCCCACACUUUUGUCCCUAUAACAUUGCCUUAGUUUCAUCUCCUGCCUAUGUAUGAGGCAGAUUUAAGUUGUUUCCUUAGUUCUAUUGUUGUUAAACCCAUUUUCCCCUUAUUCUGAAACUGUCCAGCAGCAGCACCUUCCAAGUGCUGCACUAUCACUACUGUUUUAUUUGUUUGUUUGUUUGAAUUUAUAAGCUGCCCAACUCCAAUGGACUCCAAUGUUGGAGGCAAAGUUGAAGGCAAAGUCAGAUUAUCAGUAAUGGGAAUGAUCAGAGAGACGUCUGUUGGGUGUUUCAGGCUGAUGUCAGGCAUGCCCUUCUGAUUACCAACCAGCCUCUUCUACCACCAUUCUGCUGUUUGCUUCCUAAGAUCUUGGAUGAGUUGUUUUAACCCAGCCUCACUUCUUGGCUGUUGCAAAGAAAACUAUACAAACCUGUGCAGUCAUGGCCAGAUUAUAUAAGAAACUGAGGGCUCUUUGACUCACAUAAGUUGUCCCCUUUUGGUUUCAAGUUACAGCAUGUGUUAAUACAAUUCUGGGAAAAAUGUCAUAAUUAAAGAUGUAAAUGUUAUGCUGAAUUAUAAUCCCAAAAUAUGGAAUUUGACAUUUUAUUAAGAACUCUAGCAUUCUCAAGCUUUGGAGCUCGGGACAGAGAAUUAUCUUAUGUAGAUGGAGAAAAAUCUAUCAUUCUGAUGUUAAAAAAUGGAUUCAGGAUAGGUGUUUCUUAUCAAUUGUAGAACUGACUUUAUAGUCUACAAGUGAUAAAUUGUAGCAUUAUGCUCUUAUAUGGUCUAAAUGUAAUAAACAGUCCUCUUUCAUA